AUCCAGCUGGCGAUUCCCCGAUAGGAUGAAAUGCGCAUCCUGGAU
rnacentral:hammerhead_ribozyme from 1 species